CCGGCGGCCGCGGGGGAGGCGGCUGAGGCGCGGCGGCUGUGGCCCAGGGCACCUCCCCCCGGCUUCCCGAAACCUGCCCCGUCUGACCCGAGGGGGAGGAUGGAAGGGCCAGCCGCGCUCUGAGCCCCUCAGGAAAAGAACACCCUUCCCGCCACAUCAGCCCGGGGUCCUGCGGAGGCCACCGCCUCGUCCCCUCCACGUCUCCAUCUCCCAGAGCGGGGCCGAGUGGAAAAGUGAGCGAUGGCAGAAAACGUGAGGAAACUGGUCUCGAGCGAAACUUUACGACUGAUGCACGACAAGCUAGAGUGCUGGCUGAGGGAGUACAACACAAACACAUGUGAUCAAAAUCUUAAUCAUUGCCUUGAGCUCAUCGAACAAAUUUCCAAAGUUCAAGGACAGCUCUUUAAGAUCCUCACUACGGCAGCCCAAGAAGGUGGACAUUAUGAUGGUGUGGAAAUAAUCAAAUCGCGCCUUCUGCCUUGGCUGGAGGCCUCCUUUACUGCUGCUUCCCUGGGAAAACCUGUUGACAGCAAGGUCCCCUCUCUACAGGACACAUUUGAUAAAGAGAGACAUAAAGAGGCUGCUGUUCGGGAUCGGGACAUGCAACAAUUAGACUCCGAGUUGCCUUUGACUCGUAAUCAACUCAACCAGGUUCAAGACGAUCUGGCUGAAACUGAAAAGACUCUUGAAGAAACCAAGAACAGAUCAGCCAUAUCCCUUUUGGCUGCAGAGGAGGAAAUAAAUCAGCUAAGAAAGCAGCUUAAAUCUCUUCAAGUCCAGGAGGAAUCCCGCCACCGAAACGUAGAACACAGAAGCGUGGAGCAUCGGUGUGCGGAGCCUAGAACCUCAGAGCCGAGGACCUCUGAGCAGAGGCGGUUGGACCAGUGGGGCAUUGACAAGCGGGGCGCAGAGCAGCGGACCGAAGUGGUUUCUGAUUAUGAGAAACAGCUCCGAACGCUGAAGGACGAGAUAGCUGUUUUGUCUGCUGAAAAAUCUGUGCUUCAAGGAAGGUCCGCCCGGAGCCGGACUCCCAGCCCUGGCCCUCGCAGCCACAGCCACAGCCGCAGCCGCAGCCGCUCCACCAGCCCCUCCACCACGGUCGUGAAGAUCAGGAGCCCGUCCCCGAAUCGUGCCAAAAUGUCCAACGUGGCGCGCAAGGCUGCCCUUCUGUCCCGGUUCAGCGACGCCUACUCCCAGGCCCGGCUGGAUGCGCAGUGCCUGUUGCGGCGCUGCAUCGACAAAGCUGAGACCGUGCAGCGCAUCAUCUACAUCGCCACAGUGGAGGCGUUCCAUGUAGCUAAAAUGGCAUUCAGACAUUUCAAGAUCCGCGUGAGGAAAUCGUUGACACCAUCUCUCGCGGGGUCGAAUAACUUUGAGGAUGCCGUCUUGGAUUAUAUCAUUUGUCAUCUCGAUCUAUAUGAUUCCCAAAGCAGUGUUAACGAUGUGAUGCGAGCCAUGAAUGUCAAUCCCAAGAUUUCAUUUCCUCCUGAAGUUGACUUUUGCCUCCUCAGUGACUUCAUCCAGGAGAUAUGUUGCAUUGCCUUUGCCAUGCAGGCUUUAGACCCACCCCUAGAUAUUGCAUUUGGGGCGGAUGGAGAAAUUUUUAAUGAUUGCAAGUACCGUCGCAGCUAUGACUCUGAUUUCACUGCUCCUUUGGUCCUCUAUCACGUGUGGCCUGCUCUCAUGGAGAAUGACUGUGUCAUUAUGAAGGGAGAAGCUGUCACCAAGAGAGGGGCUUUUGUACGGUGGCCUUGCGUAGUGACAAUUCAUCCCAAGUGUUUGAUUCACAAGUUCGAGAACAUUUCUAAACCCAGAGUGGAAUUCAGUGCGAUCUGUAAGUCGAUGUCGAAGCAGGAGUUUAAGUCCCAUCUGCCCCCGUAGCCGUAUUGGUUUAAGCACGAUAUCUCGAAGCCGGAGCCCUUCUCCAAUAAGAUGUGGAUUGCCGAGGUUUUAAAGCCAGCAGACAUGUCCUUUUGCUACAGUACAUCUGCACCAGCUAACUUCCCCAGUGCCUGUCUCCUGUGCUUGCCUCAGAACUCACUUAAGAUAAUGUGAAAACGCAAUUCUGUGUAUCACUCCACCUGGAGAGUUAAAUGUUUUGGCUUAGCGUGUUUGUAACCUCAGAUAUAUUGCAUUUUAUUUUAUAGAUACAAAUUCCAUUACUUUGUUAAAAACAACUGCAUAGGUGUUUAGGAUCAUAUUCAUUUGAAGCAAAGUCCCUCAGGGUUUUCAUCCUCAAAUACUAGGCUCUUUUAUGGCAACUGUAGAAACUUAAGUGGAAAAUCUUUACCACGUGGAGUUCAAAAGACAGAGUCAGUUUAGCUUACAGAUGGAUCAUAAAUAUUAUAAUUGCUGGUAUUAGCUUAAAGCUUGAAUACGAUAUUGAGUGUUAUAAUUUUCUUGUUUGGAAGACAGCCCUAAUCCCAGGCGGGGGAACUUGUCCUGGUAGCAGUACUUCAGGCUACACGUAGUUGGUGUUGAUUUCAGAGAAUAGAGUUCACUGGCUUGCUUCUCUUUUCCUGCUUUGAGAAUGCCCUGUUCGGUUGAGUUGGGUACCAAUGCCAAAGCUACUUACCUGACAGAAUGUUCUUGCUUCAUAAAUGCACAGAAGUGAUUUGGCUAGAAGCCAGCUUUGAGAGAAAUGGUAAUUACCUUGUGUUUAUCUUGUGGGGAUGUUUCAUACAGUUUUAAUGUACAUGUUACAUAUAGAAGCAACCUGGACAUGUGCUUUAUCUAUUCCACCUAGUUGUUUGCAAACUCAGACCUCCUAAGAACUGCAUCUGACUAAAAAUACCUAAAUGUGGGGCUUAAAAUUAGGGGUACCAUUUAUUGAUUUAAAUUGAGCGAAAAUACCUUGAUUUCUUGACUGUGAAGGACUGUUGAAAAAGUUCAAGUUCAACGUAAUAAUGGAAUGUAUCUUUCCCAAGAUAUGUAAUGUUUUGUCUGUUCCCCCCCUCCCCCUUACCACUUUAAUAUGGUCUUAAACACAAGCCUUACAAAUGACUGCUCUCUCUGUGUGCCUUUUGGAGAGAAACUCUGAAUUGGCCACAGCUUUGUCUGCGCUCAGUGCCCAAACUAGCACCUAGUGCCUUGUAGGUGAAAAAACAAAAAACAAAAAACAAAAAACCAACCAACCAAACAAACCCAAAGCAAAAACUUCUCUAAACCAUCUUAUCCCAGUAGUGCAAUUGCUGGGUCAUUGGGUAGCUCUAUUUUUUUUUUUUUGAGACACCUCCACAGUGUUUUCCAAAGUGGUUGUACCAACUCGCAAUUGCACUACAGGGUAUUUACCCCAAAGAC